rnacentral:lncRNA from 1 species
UAUGUACCUCACAAGUGUUUCACUCUUCUCAAUAUCCUAUGUGUCUGCACUCACUCAUGCUCACAUAUUUUUCAUUCUGAUAUCUCACUGGUUCUUCUCAGAAUCUCACAAAGUGUUUAACUCUCAAUGUUUGGCUCACAGUGUUUCUCUCAGCACUCAAAGUAUGGUCUUCUGUACCUGCAUGAGAAAAUCACCAUAGCCCCUUCAAGAGAGGUCACUGGCGGUGCAAUGGGGUUUCGUAAAUCCCCGAUCCUCA